GGGCCUGCCUGGUGAAUCUACACGAUUUAGCCUAUCAGGAUCCGGUUUUUUGGUUGGUGCGGGAGUAGGUGCCUCUGGCAGAGCAUCCGCCAUCUGUUUGCUAACGGAAAGCAGCGACUUACUAGAUAGGAGCCCGUUCCAGGAUUCGUUUUGGGGGACCAUCUCGAUCGAAACGGUUAUCUAUGCUUGGAGGACAAUCAAUUGCUCAAGCUUGUCUAACGACCCUCCAUUCAAAUCAUUUACGAGAAUAGAACCUUUAUCUGUAUGGGAAAGAGGGGUUCUACCUAUGCGUCGGUUGGGAGGAGGGCCGGGAAGUCUGAAGGGAAUGGAUGUUUUCCG
rnacentral:lncRNA from 1 species